rnacentral:lncRNA from 1 species
GUGAUGAAGAAUGAUAUUGAUUAUAAGAAAUUUGAGAUUUUAGAAUUUAUCUAGGAGCAAGACAAUGGAUUUUUGGGUGUAAAAACAUCAUUAAUGAGGGCUAUGAGGCUUUACGCCCAUAAGGUGUUUGAUUAAAUGCCUAAGUGACCAAAACAUGAGUAUUAUUACUAAUAUAGAAUCCUUUUGACUUGUAUUGCUAUAGAUUAAAGUAGAAAGGUUUGGCGAAUGUUGUAUUACGCUCAAAAGAAGGAAGUUAAGGUAUGUGAGGCGAACUCUCUAUGUCUGGGAAUGUUAAUAAUUCUCCCUACACUAUGUUUCUUUUACGACGUUACUAAUUUCCUUAGUAAAAUAUAGGUAAGCCUAGUUCCUUGAAUAGUUACAGAACUUCUAUUCUCUAGCUUCAAAACUCAUUCAUGACUUUCAUUCUGAACGUUAUGAGCUCAGUACGUAAUCAAUAUAGACUUGGGUUUGAUGCCCAUGAGUCUCAGUCUAGAUUACUCGGCAUGUCAUAAACAGUUGAAGUUUGAGUUUUCAUAAUCAGUUCAAGAAUACAUUUCUCAAUCUAGUCCUCUUCAGCAUUCCAGUAUCAUGUAGCUCAGUAUGAUUCAGUAUUUCUACAUCACUUAUUAUAGUAUGAUUCUCAGUUCCUAAAUUUAAAUUCCUGAAUAUUGAACACUUGUAUUUGGGUCUGAGGUCNUUGAGGUUGUAGUUUAUGCUUUAUGUAUGUUUGGGUCUGAGGCCGUAGUUUAUGCUUUAUGCCUGUUUGGGUCUGAAGCCGUAGUUUAUUUUUGGUCCUGAGGCCAUAGUUAUGUUCACAUAUGCUUGGGCCUGAGGACGUAGCUUGUGCACAUAUAUAUUGGGCCCGAGGCCGUAGUUUAUUCAGAUAAACAGCUGGUUCAUCAUUCCGAAAAGAGAGUAUUCAUAUCCUUACUUCCGUUGUUCAGUUAUCAGUUAUCAGUUAUUAUUUCAGUUAACAGUUAUCAUUUCAGUUUCAGUUUCAACUUCAACAAUUAUCAUUUAUGUUAUCAGUUAUCAGUUCUCAAUUAUUAACUCAGUUUUAGGUUUAGUAUUUACAUUUCUUUCUUUCAAAUGCUUUAAUUACCAGUGUAAUUCAAACGUACUAAUGUCCCUUUUGCCCAGGGCCUGCAUAUCACGAUGCAAAAAAUGAUUUACAGGUUGACGAUUCAGGGUGCUAGGAUCCUCGUACUAGCUAUUUGGUGAGCCAGUUCUUUCGGGGCAUUAACAUUACUUUACAGUCUUUCAAUAUUUACGGACAGUCAGUGUUUUUAGUUCUUCAUUAGAGGCUUCACACA